CUGGAGACAGGUGCUGCAUGGCUGUCGUCAGCUCGUGUCGUGAGAUGUUGGGUUAAGUCCCGCAACGAGUGCAACCCUUGCCUUUAGUUGCCAGCAGUUCGGCUGGGCACUCUAAAGGGACUGCCGGUGUUAAACCGGAGGAAGGUGGGGAUGACGUCAAGUCCUCAUGGCCUUUAUGACCAGGGCUACACACGUACUACAAUGGCCGAUACAAAGGGCAGCGACACUGCGAGGUGAAGCCAAUCCCGUAAAAUCGGUCUCAGUCCGGAUUGGAGUCUGCAACUCGACUCCAUGAAGUUGGAAUCGCUAGUAAUCGUGGAUCAGCAUGCCACGGUGAAUACGCUCCCGGGCCUU
rnacentral:rRNA from 1 species